rnacentral:rRNA from 1 species
CAGCCGCCGCGGUAAUACGAAGGGGGCUAGCGUUGCUCGGAAUCACUGGGCGUAAAGGGUGCGUAGGCGGGUCUUUAAGUCAGGGGUGAAAUCCUGGAGCUCAACUCCAGAACUGCCUUUGAUACUGAAGAUCUUGAGUUCGGGAGAGGUGAGUGGAACUGCGAGUGUAGAGGUGAAAUUCGUGGAUAUUCGCAAGAACACCAGUGGCGAAGGCGGCUCACUGGCCCGAUACUGACGCUGAGGCACGAAAGCGUGGGGAGCAAACAGGAUUAGAUACCCGUGUAGUCCCUGUCUCUUAUAC